rnacentral:rRNA from 1 species
GAUAAACGCUAGCGGCGUGCCUAAUGCAUGCAAGUCGAACGGUUUUUCGCAAGAUAGACAGUGGCAAACGGCUGAGUAACGCGUAAGCAACCUGUCCCUAAGUGGGGAAUAACACCGGGAAACCGGUGCUAAUACCGCAUGUGGUAGUGGAGGUAGGUUUUCACUACUAAAGCCUUCGGGCGCUUUGGGAGGGACUUGCGACCUAUCAGGUAGUUGGUGAGGUAACGGCCCACCAAGCCAAUGACGGGUAGCUGGUUUAAGAGGACGUCCAGCCAGACGGGGACUGAGACACGGCCCCGACUCCUACGGGAGGCAGCAGCAAGGAAUUUUGCGCAAUGGGCGAAAGCCUGACGCAGCAACGCCGCGUGAGGGAAGAAGGCCUUCGGGUUGUAAACCUCUUUUCCCAGGGAAGAAAAAUGACGGUACCUGGGGAAUAAGUCACGGCUAACUACGUGCCAGCAGCCGCAGUAAGAC